rnacentral:rRNA from 1 species
UACGUAGGGGGCAAGCGUUGUCCGGAAUCAUUGGGCGUAAAGAGCGUGUAGGCGGUCCGGUAAGUCGGUUGUGAAAGUCCAGGGCUCAACCCUGGGAUGCCGAUCGAUACUGUCGGGCUAGAGUUCGGAAGAGGCGAGUGGAAUUCCCGGUGUAGCGGUGAAAUGCGCAGAUAUCGGGAGGAACACCAAUGGCGAAGGCAGCUCGCUGGGACGUUACUGACGCUGAGACGCGAAAGCGUGGGGAGCAAACAGG